rnacentral:rRNA from 1 species
GACGAACGCUGGCGGCGUGCUUAACACAUGCAAGUCGAACGAUGAAGCCGGAGCUUGCUCUGGUGAAUUAGUGGCGAACGGGUGAGUAACACGUGAGUAACCUGCCCUUGACUCUGGGAUAACUGCGGGAAACUGUAGCUAAUACCGGAUACGACCCUCGGAGGCAUCUCCUGGGGGUGGAAAGAAUUUCGAUUAAGGAUGGAUUCGCGGCCUAUCAGCUUGUUGGUGAGGUAAUGGCUCACCAAGGCGACGACGGGUAGCCGGCCUGAGAGGGUGAACGGCCACACUGGGACUGAGACACGGCCCAGACUCCUACGGGAGGCAGCAGUGGGGAAUAUUGCGCAAUGGACGAGAGUCUGACGCAGCGACGCCUCGUGAGGGACGAAGGUCUUCGGAUUGUAAACCUCUUUCAGCAGGGACGAAGCGAAAGUGACGGUACCUGCAGAAGAAGCACCGGCUAACUAUGUGCCAGCCGCCGCAGUAA